CGAUGGCUGCGUGGCUGUUGGACCUUGGAGGGAGAAGAAGGGGCCUUUGAGACUGGGGCUCUCCAGGGUUGCACUAGAAGGAAGCCUCACCAAUCACUGAAAGCAGUCCUCCUGGGGACAUCACCUGGGUCAUGGCUCUCGGAAGACCCAGAGUACCUGCCUAUGCUAAGCUCCUCGGCCUCCUGACAUCGCCUGCCCCUGCUCCGUGCCACUAUCCAUAUACUCACUUUGGCUGCUGCUGCCGUUGCCGCGAGCUGGAGGAAGGCUGGGGCUGGGCCUGGGCAGACUGCGGGGUGGUGCUGGCCUGUAGCUGGUGGUACUGUGGUGUGGUGA